GGGCCCGCACAAGCGGUGGAGCAUGUGGUUUAAUUCGAUGAUACGCGAGGAACCUUACCAGGGUUUAAAUGCAGAACGACAGGGGUGGAAACACCCCCUUCUUCGGACGGACUGCAAGGUGCUGCAUGGUUGUCGUCAGCUCGUGCUGUGAAGUGUCGGGUUAAGUCCCAUAACGAGCGCAACCCCCAUUUCUAGUUGCCAGCGGUUCGGCCGGGGACUCUAGAGAAACUGCCAGCGUAAGCUGUGAGGAAGGUGGGGAUGACGUCAAAUCAUCACGGCCCUUACGUCCUGGGCUACACACGUGCUACAAUGGUGAGGACAGAGAGUUGCCAACCCGCGAGGGUGAGCU
rnacentral:rRNA from 1 species